CCGGGCCGGGGCCGCCGCUCCAGCGCCGGGAGGCGAGCGCCGGGCUGCCGUGGGGCCGGGAGCGGGGCAGUCGUCCUGCCGGGGCCGCGCCUGGCGGUGGGGCUGCGGGGCUCUCCUUGCUUUUCCGUGGUUAAAAGCCUUGGGGUGAGCGGCGCGUUCCGGCGCUGUGUUGGAGAAGCUGCUGACUGUGUAGGAACAGUAAUUGCCGCCUCUCGUCCUCAGAGCAGGGAGAGCUGCUGCGGGGCUCCGGAGUUCGUUCCUCUCCCUGUCCCGUCGUUGGGAGCCCGGCGUGUGUCACAGGCAACAUCUGUAGUGAACUGAAAGUACCACGGGUUUAUCCCGCUCAGGUAAACUCUAUGUGACCACAGUUUCCGAAGGUCUUUUCUCCCUGUUAGGCACUUCUCCUUUCUUCCCCCAGAAACGAACAAACAAGAGCCUGUGUGUAAGCUCAUUGCUUCAUUGCUUCAGCAUCAGGAUCUGCUCUGCACUCAGCUGUCAAGUUUGUCUUGACUUUAAGUAACGUAGGGAUGGUCUACUGUAAAAGAGGGAUGCUUCAGGAGAAUGGCUCACAUGAGCUUCAGGUAAUUGUUUGGACUUGGCUGAUGGCUUUCCAUCGGUCAGACACGGAGCAAGGCGGUGCAGGGAGUAAUUAAUGAGCUGCUGUUGGCUCUCGGAGCGCAGCCUCAUUAAAUGCUGUGUGCAUUGGACUUCCUGUUGAAAUAACAGGAGCAAGCUGGUCAGAGCUUCUCAAAUGGUAUGUGGGAAGUUGCUGAGAAGUUGUCAUCGCAUCUCAGAACAGCUCCCAGGGUAGAAAGCAGCAGGCUUCUGGAGGAGAUACUAACAGGGGCGGUGCUCUGUUACAGCAGGGUGAGACCGUCCGGCUGCUGUGGUGCUCUGCCCACGUUGUACUCAGAGGCUGGGUCCUGCCAGCCCAGCCCAGCUUUUUGCCAGGCUCCAGAAUGCCCUGGGCCCUGAGCCCUGCUUGUUGGCCUUCCUGCUCCUUGCCUGGUGGGCUGAGCCACCAUAAGGCGAGAAGGAACAGCUCUGGCAUCCUGGUGGAGCAUUUCAGAAGGUCUGGGUCCUUCACUUGCUACUUCUUUUCUUCCUGGAAGAAAGCAGGGGAGUCUGAACAGGAGGGAGAUGGGACCUCCUAAGGAAAACUGGGUUAGUUGCGUCCUACAAGCCCUGGGAGGGAUCCAGGAUGAAGGAACUUGUGGGCUGCAAAUGGGCUUGGUAAGACCUCACUUUCCAGGCUGCUUUUUCAAUGUCUGGGCUUAUGGCCAGGCUGUGCCCAAACUUUUGGCAGCAUGCCCUGGCAUUACCGGCCAGGCAGCUCUCCAUACACCCUGGCUGUGGCUCCCUGCCUCCCAGCACACUCUGCCCCUGGGCCUUGGCUGGAACCCCUGCCGCCUGCCCCCACCCUGCCCUCUACAGACCCCCGCACUCUGCUCCCUGCUCAGGGCAGUCCCACACCUGCCACCUCCGCUGGCUGCAGCCCGUGUUGCUCUGCCUUGUGGUGGGGCUCCCCAGGCCCAACCUAGGCCUCAGCCCCCUCCCGGCGCUCCGCAUGGCUCCCUCUGGUUGGAAUGCUUCCCUGUGGCUGCUGUUGGCUGUGUUUCUCAGAAACAUGCCUGUGGACACACAUGGACAGAGCAGCAGUGACAGUUUAUUUAAUUCGGGAGAGGAGCUGGUGAAGUGAAGCUGUGCUAAAUCCUCGGCCCAUCCGUAGUGAUUACGUACUGUGCGUUCGACCUCACUUGGUGUGACAGGGAUUAUAAAGCUGAGUUCGAGGUGGCCACGCAGCAUCCCAUCCCAGGGCGCUGUCUCCUUUGCUCAGCCUCCGUACCUUACUUUUCUGCAGGGCACAUGCGGCAGUGCUACAGCAGCAGCGUGGCCCACACUUCCUCACAGAAUUCCAGAACCUCAUCACUCUGCCAUGAAUGAAUAUUGACCUGUGAACAGGUGAGCCUGCUGAUCAGCACACAUCCAGACCUGUGAUGUGAGGGCGGCGGCAAACAGCUGAAAGAGCAUUAAUUACUGUCGCAGUCUUCCACUGACACUAACCACAUUUUGAGCACCUUUGCUGGUGUGUCCAAAUACCUAAAGAAGUGUUCUCAAGGAAGUCACUAGGUUCAGCCUGGACCCAGUCCAGAAGAAAGCAGUGUUUGUCCUCAGAGGGAAAUAUUACAAAGAACUGGCCAAAACGCACUCACUGUCUCUUGUCUGGAGUAAAAAGCCCUAGCUCAUCAGGAUAUUGCAAAAUCUCAAUGUCAUUCUCUCAUCGGUCUCAAAAAUGCCUUCUUUCAUGUUUUAGUUUAUUAGAAGAUUAAGUUAUUUUCUUCUGGACAAUGACUCAGGACAUAAUAACCCACAUGUUUAUCACAGCCAUGUCAGAUAACUGGAACUCACGCUAUCUGAAGUGAACUGUGGGGAUUUGCGUACGUUUCGGCGAGAACAAAACAGAUGCUCUGUCUCCCAGUGGCUCUGGUUUAUGUAUGUAUAGGCAGUGAGUCUGCGCUCAUGUUCCUUCCCUGGCUGCAGCAUAAGCAAACCUCGGUCUUUACUUCUGAGGAGAUUAAUCGUUCAGGCCGAGGCUGUAUUUCACUCUUAAUAAUUCUUGUAGAAACUGUGACCCUCUGGAACAAGGCACAACACAGUCUGGCAUAAAACUUGCGAGAGCUGAACAACAUUCAGCCAACCCAAACCAGCUGUGGAACUGUUUUGCACAGUGGCUCCAGGAAAUGGGGAAUGUGAUCUCUUUUUAGAUAGUCCUGAGGUUUCUUUCCCCUUAAGAAAACUGUUACAGCAAAGAUACAUUUCUGUUCAGACUUCUCUUAAAAAUCCACCGUAAAAGCCCUUCUUUAGGCAGAACUUGGGUUUUGAAAGUACCAGAGACAUCCCAAAGUUUGUUCUGAUAUUAAUUUUAUGUAAAAGAUGGUCUGAUGCUGCAGCGAGGAAUAAGAUAGCAGAGCCCACAGUUCACACAUGCUUGAUGUGAGACGCUCAGCUGGCUUUGUCCCACUGCUGGCCUUGUUGUGUUUCUGGCCUUGUUGCUCUGCUGGCCUUGUCCGUGCUGCUGGCCCUAUGGAAGGCCAUAAUGCCCGGCCACCGCCAGGCUGUGCCCACUUGCCUGGCUCCUUGCAUGCACAGGACCUUCUGGCUGUACAAGCCACUCUUGUGCUGCAUAGUCUUCCUGUUGGGACUACAUCUACAGUGUGAUGUGCGUGGCAGUUCACAGGCCCAGAGGGCUGGAGGGGACCUUUGAGUCCUAGGCACAGUAUCACCUACACCUGUAGGCAAACUGCGACAUGUUUGUCUGCCUUCUGAAAAUCUCCAGUGACAGAGGUCCAAGCAUUUUACAGACCAAGUACCUGCUGAUAGUUGAUAACUGUUACUUCAAUCCUAGUAUCUAUCUGAAUCUUGCUUAUUCCUUGUGCUUUCUAACCAAGGAGCUGAAAAUGAGUAGGUUGUUUCUGCCUCCUCACAAAAACCCUCUCUACAUAUUUGAAGACUGAUUAUAUGUUUUUUUCAGUCUUCAUUUCUUUACACUUCUUCUCCAUUUAAUGUCUCAUGGAGGCAGUGCUUGCUAGGUCUCUGAUUGUCUUCUGGACCUGCUUCACCCAAUAAAUGUGUUUUAAAACACCAGCCAUGAUCCUUCAGCUGAGCCCUUACCAGCAGUGAAUAGUGAGGAAAGAUCACCUCAGGUGCUCUGAAAGUUGUACUGCUGUUUUAUGAAAUUUGGAAGUCUGAGCUGAGAGGACUAUGGGGAAAUUGUGCACUGAAAUGGAGGAGAAUUGAGCCAUGCUGGUGAGAGAAAGGCAAAAUCUUGCCAUUGAUGUUUUUGCUUUUUUAAGUAUUGCAGCGCUUCCAGCAAAAGUAAAGCUAGGUAUGAUUAAAUGACCAAUGUCAAUGUGAUAGCACCCUGAAGAUGUUUAGUCUUGCUGGAAUUGUUGUUUUACAUUGAGGCUUUUUUGUUGGUUUUGUUGUUGUUGUUGUCUUCCUGUCUGAGGAGAACAAGCCUAUAAAAUCAAGUGGUAAAAAUAACAUAUGUUAACUAGUAUAGUAAGUGUCUGGAAAGGAUAAACUCCACCGUCAUUGGAGAAAAUAACCAAACAUACAUGUAGAGUUUGAUCCAGACAAAACUACACUCCUUUUACAUGAUGGAAUUAAGCCAAGUUCUGCUUAGCUGCUCCAUGCUCAAAGUAAAGGACCCUAUGAGUGCAACUGUAUCCUAGUGAUGUGAUUCCUGGAGCAGCCAUCUCAUACCUGCAGCCUGUGCAGAGGGGCUUGUUAGGAAGCUGUGAUCAUCCAGACCCGUGCUAAAGCAGCAACUGGGGCUCAUAGCCAGCUGCUCCCUUCUCCAAAAUCUUCACUCUGUGACUACACUGCAUUACCUUUAGUGGCUCUCUCAAGCAGUACUCUCAGCAUGGUUCUACCUGGCAGCGAGCACACGAAUGCACAGAGUAGCAAAUGAUGAUUAAUGAACAGCUUGCCUCUCUGUUACACUCUUCUUUCCCUCACAAGAUGUCCUUGAUAAUUAAUACCUCCAGGUGGGGUUUUGCAUUAUGACUGAGCUACACUUCUCUUUCCAUGACCAAUGAUCCUCUCCCAUCCCCUUCUCUGCUGCUGGCCAUGUAAUCCUCCAGCAUCUCUUGGUCCAGCUCUGGCACACAUCAGAUGCCCUAGUGAGCUUAUUUGGGGAACCAGCCAUGAGAAAAUGACAAGAAAAAGUGGUGUAUUGUUUCUGUUUCCCAAAUCCAAAACUAUAUCACUCCUAGAGCUGGUUCAUCAUGAGGUCAGGAUGGUGGUAGCAGCAGCACAAGGGUUAGAAUGGGGCUAGGGAGAUGGACCAUUAGAUCAGCUACAGGGUCAGACUUAGCAUCCUUGCCUGCUCACCAGGUGUUUCAUUUGUGUCAUCUUUCCUGGAAUCUGUGUUCCGUUAGCAGUACCCAAGAUUCAGCUCCUACCUUCCUGCCAAGUUGCAGCUGUCUGCACUUGAAGCAGGAGGGAAAUUAAGAAUAAGAAUACUACCAAAAAAAAAAAAAAAAAAAAAAAAAGACAAUUCAAUUUUAAUUCUUACUUUCUUUAAAGAAAAUACUGGGAAGACUUUUUCCUUUUUUCCUUCUUUGAUCGUCUAUUUUUCUGUAAGAACAACCAGUCCCAGAAGAGGAGUCAGUGAUGCAGUAGGAAUAUUCAUAUUCAAGCUCUCUCCUUGGCAGCUAUUGUGGAGCAUGGCAGUGCUGUGUGUGCAAACUUCUGCUGCUCUCCUGCCUCCACCAGUCGCUGGAGAAUGGAGGCUGUGGGAGGUCAGCAGAGAGUGGAAACCACAGGACAUAAAAGGUGGCCAGAGAAUUAGAGCUGACAAGCAGGGGACUUGUAAGAGGCAAAAUGUAAAGCUUUAUUUCAGUUUUCCUUGUUAGGAUGCUGUUAGGCUUCCUACAACAAUGACAAACCUGAUAGUAUCUAAGCAACAUUGUAUGACCGAGGGCUGAAUGAGGCUCUAUCAGACAUUAGAAUCUCUCCCUACUGUUUUACUUCUGAUAUUCAUGAAAUCUUGUUCUGCACUUCUACCAGAACAAUCAUCAUUUGAAUAAAAUAAACAACCAAGCAUUUGGCAAAUA